rnacentral:tRNA from 2 species
GGGCCCAUAGCUCAACGGUAGAGCUGCCGGCUCAUAACCGGUCGGUUCCUGGUUCGAAUCCGGGUGGGCCCACCA